GGCUGAGGGCAGGAGAGCAAGAGUCCACUUCAGCUUCCAUCACCUCUUCCCCUGAGGUCUCUGUGAGCCCCCAAAGGAGGGGCUGGGAGAGGUGGUCCCCUUAGCUCCCCUUCCCCAGCCAGAACAGAAUCACUGACCCUGAGGCUUGGCCUGGGCUGCAUCUGCUUCGAGCAACUUCCAUGAAGGACGUGACUGUAGACCGAGGCCCACUCCUUGCGCAGCCAGGGCCCUCAGGAUGCCCAGGGAAGUGAGGGCCAGUGCUGGAAGCUCCAGCCUAACACUGGGCACCUCCCCAAAGUUCUGAGGGUACCCCUCACUCAAGCUCCAGGCGUCAGGAAAAGAACAUUCCACGAAGUCCAUCUGGAAGACGGUCCUUUCCCUGCUGCCCCCAGCUUCUAGAAUAUUCCCUGGAACACAUUAAGUGUUCAGUUAUUGUUCAUGGAGUGACAGAUGUCUCAGCCAAGAAGGUACAAUCCCAGGGAAGAAUGACUUCAAUUGAUCUUGACUUCAACCUGCUUCCAGCCUGGUUCCCUUUUCCCACCUCCCUACAGCCCACAGAAGAACUUUUCCAAACCAGAAGUCUGUCCAGGUCAUUCUUCUGCUCUAAGGCUUUCAGUAGCUCCCCCUUAUCCCCAGGAGGAAGUCCAAAUGGCUUAGCAAGUGUCAAGGGACCCUGGGUGAGCCCUACUUUCCUUGCUAGUCACUCGUGCACAGCUGAGUCCUUCCCCAGAGUGGAUGUCAUUCAUGCUGUUCCCAUUGCCUGGAUUCCUGCUCCUCUCCACCCCAUUCAACUGAUAAACUCUUGUUUAUUUGUUUGUUUGUUUUUUGAGACUGAGUCUCGAUCUAUCACCCACGCUAGAGUGCAGUGGCGCGAUCUUGGCUCACUGCAACUUCUGCUUCCUGGGUUCAAGAGAUUCUUGUGCCUCAGCCUCCUGAAUAGCUGGGGUUACGGGCGUCUGCCAACAUGCCUGGCUAAUUUUUGUAUUUUUAGUAGAGACGGGGUUUCACCAUGUUGGCCAGGCUCUUCUCAAACUCCUGACCUAAAGGGAUCCCCCGCCUUGGCCUACCAAAGUGCUGGAAUUACAGGCGUGAACCACUGUGCCUGGCCUCAACUGAUACACUCUUGUCCUUUUACUAGGCUCAGCUUAGGGACCGUCACCUCCAGGAAGCCUUCCCAACCUGCACUGAUCAUUUCUUCUUCUUCUCUUUGGGAUUAUCACUUGUAUUAUAAUCAAAUCUUUUUUUUUUCUUUAAAAAAUAUUAUUUGCAUUCAGUAAAAUUCACCCUUUUUGAUAUACAGUUCUGAGGUUUUUUUUAGUUCUAUAAGUUUUGUCAAAUGUGUAAAGUUGUAAUCUCCAACACAAUCAAAAUAUAAAACAAUUUCCUCACCCCUCCCCAAUUCCCUUAUGCUCUUUUGUAUCCAACACUUCUUCCCACUCCAGCCCCUGGCAACCACGGAUUUGCUUUCUGUCUGUACAACACUGCCUCUUCCAGAAUAUAUAAAAUCACGCUGUUUAUAACCUUUAA